rnacentral:tRNA from 3 species
UGCGGGGUGGAGCAGUGGCAGCUCGUCGGGCUCAUAACCCGAAGGUCCCAGGUUCGAGUCCUGGCCCCGCUACCA